GAUGAACGCUGGCGGCGUGCCUAAUACAUGCAAGUCGAGCGAACAGACGAGGAGCUUGCUCCUCUGACGUUAGCGGCGGACGGGUGAGUAACACGUGGAUAACCUACCUAUAAGACUGGGAUAACUUCGGGAAACCGGAGCUAAUACCGGAUAAUAUAUUGAACCGCAUGGUUCAAUAGUGAAAGACGGUUUUGCUGUCACUUAUAGAUGGAUCCGCGCCGCAUUAGCUAGUUGGUAAGGUAACGGGUUACCAAGGCAACGAUGCGUAGCCGACCUGAGAGGGUGAUCGGCCACACUGGAACUGAGACACGGUCCAGACUCCUACGGGAGGCAGCAGUAGGGAAUCUUCCGCAAUGGGCGAAAGCCUGACGGAGCAACGCCGCGUGAGUGAUGAAGGUCUUCGGAUCGUAAAACCCUGUUAUUAGGGAAGAACAAAUGUGUAAGUAACUAUGCACGUCUUGACGGUACCUAAUCAGAAAGCCACGGCUAACUACGUG
rnacentral:rRNA from 1 species